GGUAGCGCUACCUGCAGUCGAGCGGAUGAAGGGAGCUUGCUCCUGGAUUCAGCGGCGGACGGGUCAGUAAUGCCUAGGAAUCUGCCUGGUAGUGGGGGAUAACGUCCGGAAACGGGCGCUAAUACCGCAUACGUCCUGAGGGAGAAAGUGGGGGAUCUUCGGACCUCACGCUAUCAGAUGAGCCUAGGUCGGAUUAGCUAGUUGGUGGGGUAAAGGCCUACCAAGGCGACGAUCCGUAACUGGUCUGAGAGGAUGAUCAGUCACACUGGAACUGAGACACGGUCCAGACUCCUACGGGAGGCAGCAGUGGGGAAUAUUGGACAAUGGGCGAAAGCCUGAUCCAGCCAUGCCGCGUGUGUGAAGAAGGUCUUCGGAUUGUAAAGCACUUUAAGUUGGGAGGAAGGGCAGUAAGUUAAUACCUUGCUGUUUUGACGUUACCAACAGAAUAAGCACCGGCUAACUUCGUGCCAGCAGCCGCGGUAAUACGAAGGGUGCAAGCGUUAAUCGGAAUUACUGGGCGUAAAGCGCGCGUAGGUGGUUCAGCAAGUUGGAUGUGAAAUCCCCGGGCUCAACCUGGGAACUGCAUCCAAAACUACUGAGCUAUAGUACAGCUUAGUUUGGUGAAAUUUCCCUGUGCUCCAUAUAUCUCUCACCUUCUAUAUGCUUCUACUCUGUUCCAAAGGCAUCUAUUGCUCUCCUAUUCCAAAAUCCUCUAUAUAUACGAGUCGUAAACUUGAUAUUUUCUCUA
rnacentral:rRNA from 1 species